AGUAUAGAUUAACUAAAUAUAAAUUACUUCCUAAAAAAGUAUAUUUUUGAAAAUUACUUUUUAAAAUAAGCUGAUGAUAGAGGUUUGGGCAAACAUGCAACUACUAAUGUUUUUUGUUUAUUUCUCCGACCUAAUAUUAUUGGGGCUCAUUCUCACCUUUUCCUUUCUUAUUUUUUUCCCCCGUUUUUUUAAGUAUAACAAAGUAUUUACUUCAUGUUCUUUCUCUCUAAAGCAAUGUUUUUUUUGAUUUAUUUAAAAUCGAUUGUAUCGUAUUGUUAAAUGCAUUGUUCCGGAACAACCAAAAGCCCCAUUUUAUGAAAUAAUCGAUUUGGUGUGGUGGGAUCGUUUCUUAUUUUCUUUUCUAAUUAUGCCCUUACUUAUUACUCCAUAAUUCUAUUUUAUCAUUUAAUUUUUUUUAUUUUAACUCCAAAUCUCCAACCUAUUGACCUACUUUGUCUUCUUCAAUUUUUUCUAAAGUUGGCUUGCCCCGUUAUAUUUAUCCAACGUUUGAUUCUUUGUCUCUUUCCAUCGUUUUAAUUUUUUUUUGUUAUUGCUAAUAUUAGUUAACCUUUUUUUUUUCCAGGUUUUUGCUCUUGUUUCCAAGCUACGUAAUUAAUGAUAAUUUAGUAAAAAGAUAUUUUCUUAAAUUAUUUUUAUGUGUAAUUCUUGAUAACAACAACAUACCCAGUAUUAUCCCACACCGUGGGGAGUGUAAUUCUUGAUAAAUUUUAUUUAAACAAUCGGGGGUAUUUUAGUGAACCUAUCAGUUACAGUAUAGUACGAUACAGUCAAACCAAAUAACAAAAAUGUUAUUUAACAACAGCAAACGAUACGAUCUAUUCAAACAUUGUACCCAUAAAACGAUACAAUACAAUACAGUACAAUACAAUACAAUACAUUAUAAAACGAUGGGUAACAAUGAUCCAAACAUAGUGUAAACUUAUUCUCCCUCCCGUCAAAAAGCAAAACCAUCCAUUGCUUCCACUCCGGCGUGUCUUCCCCUACCAAUUUCAAUAUCCUGAAUGGAGAUUGAUUCAAAGGUACCAGAAGAGGUUGAGGGUUCGAUGCAAGUUGACAGUAAGGUUCAGGGAAAGAUGACAUAUCUAACUCGAUGAAAAAGCUUAAUAUCGAGGGAUCAUCCUCCACUUUCAAGAAAAAACCGAUCAUUAUCAUAGUGGUUGGGAUGGCUGGUAGUGGUAAAACAACGUUUCUCCAUCGGCUUGUUUGCCACACAAUGGCAUCCAAUAUGCGGGGUUAUGUUUUGAACCUUGAUCCUGCCGUCUUGACCCUCCCAACAACAACAACAACAACGACCCAGUAUAAUCUCACUAGUGGGGUCUGGGGAGGGUAGUGUGUAUGCAG